CAUUUUGCGCAGUGGCAGUACCAUAGCCAAUGAGGUUUACCUGAAGCAUGAUUAUUGCUAAUUGAAACUCAGAGUUGAGCCCCAUAAGGAUUCCAACUUGCUUUGGCUGAAUUCCUUCACUUCAGAAGAAAAAGAAG
rfam:Callithrix jacchus chromosome 20, whole genome shotgun sequence